CGAUUUCGAUUACGAACCAAACGCUUCGGAGGAUUUGAUCAUUUCAAUUUCAAUUUCAAAUCAUUCUGAUUUUUAUUUUCAUUUCGAUUUACGAACCAAACACUCCCUUAGAUUAAGAUUCACCAUCCGUCUUGGAAUAAUAUAAAGACAACUUUGUCCUUUUAAAACUAUUUAGAGGGUGUUUGGUUGGUAACCGAAAUCAGAAUGAAAAUAAGAAUCGGAAUAGUUUGGAAUCGAAAUUAGAAUAAUUUGGAAUCAAAAUCGGAAUCGGAAUAGUCAAAUCCUCCAAAGCAUUUGGUUCGUGAUCGAAAUCGAAAUUGGAAUGAAAAUUUGAAUCCAUAGAGAAGAGUACGGAUUGAGUUCUAUAUAGAUUGAGCCAUUCCUAUUCUCCUCUGGAAUCGAAAUUGAAAUGGGACUCUUUCCAACCAAACGGUUAGAAUGGGAGUCACCUAUUUCGAUUCUGAUUUCAGACCCCCACUUCUUCCAACCAAACAUCCCCUUAUUUUUAGAGAUUAAUUUUUUUUUUUCUCCCUCCAAAUCUCGUGAUACACAUGUUGAAUAACAAGUAUGUGUAUAGUUAUGUAUAUCGUCAAAAAAAUAUUUUCCACUUUUUUUUAAUAAAAGGGAGAAAAUCAUUCCAGCUGCAUCAAGUAAACGA
rnacentral:lncRNA from 1 species